rnacentral:rRNA from 1 species
GAUGAGUCCUUUCGCGAGUGACACUUAUGAGAAGCCUUUGUGGCCCCGCAAGGGGUACCUGCCGCGACUGUAAAUAAAGAAUGUGGGUAUUAAAUCGCAAGUCGGUUGUUCAGCAACUGGCUACACUUUCGAAUUGCGGGAACACCCUAAAGCCCUUCUCUACCAAGCCGGCGAGGAAACUCGUUCGGUGGCCCGUGCUAACACCACGGGGUACGGUUACAAUGAGAACGGAUACAUGGGCAAUCCGCAGCCAAGUCCCUAAGGCGAGAGCUAUGGGAAAGGUUCACAGACUAAGUGGAAGUGGGCUGCUCGCAGCUUAAGAUAUAGUCGGUCCCCACGAGAGAUCUUUGGGGAAAGUCACUUCAGACGUAACAAAACGU